UACGUAGGGUGCAAGCGUUAAUCGGAAUUACUGGGCGUAAAGCGUGCGCAGGCGGUGAUGUAAGACAGAUGUGAAAUCCCCGGGCUCAACCUGGGAACUGCAUUUGUGACUGCAUCGCUGGAGUACGGCAGAGGGGGAUGGAAUUCCGCGUGUAGCAGUGAAAUGCGUAGAGAUGUGGAGGAAUACCGAUGGCGAAGGCAGCCUCCUGGGCCAACACUGACGCUCAUGCACGAAAGCGUGGGGAGCAAACAGG
rnacentral:rRNA from 1 species